GGGGGGGGCAAGCGUUGUUCGGAAUUACUGGGCGUAAAGGGCGCGUAGGCGGCCUGCUAAGUCGGACGUGAAAUCCCUCGGCUCAACCGGGGAACUGCGUCCGAUACUGGUGGGCUCGAAUCCGGGAGAGGGAUGUGGAAUUCCAGGUGUAGCGGUGAAAUGCGUAGAUAUCUGGAGGAACACCGGUGGCGAAGGCGGCAUCCUGGACCGGUAUUGACGCUGAUGCGCGAAAGCCAGGGGAGCAAACGGGAUUAGAUACCCCGGUAGUCCUGGCCCUAAACGAUGAGUGCUUGGUGUGGCGGGUAUCGAUCCCUGCCGUGCCGAAGCUAACGCAUUAAGCACUCCGCCUGGGGAGUACGGUCGCAAGGCUG
rnacentral:rRNA from 1 species